UGGAAACUUGUCGCGACCGCUGUGCACCC
rnacentral:sRNA from 1 species